rnacentral:lncRNA from 1 species
AACAGAUGAACAAAGACAGUAUUAUGUAAAUCAGUUUAAAACCAUUCAGCCUGAUCUAAACGGAUUUAUUCCAGGAUCUGCAGCUAAAGAGUUUUUUACAAAAUCAAAACUUCCUAUUCUUGAACUUUCUCAUAUUUGGGAACUCUCAGACUUUGAUAAAGAUGGUGCAUUGACACUGGAUGAGUUUUGUGCUGCUUUUCAUCUGGUGGUUGCUAGGAAGAAUGGCUAUGAUUUACCAGAAAAACUUCCUGAAAGCUUAAUGCCCAAACUGAUUGAUUUGGAAGAUUCAGCAGCCCUGAUGCUCUGAUGAUGUCAGGGGCAGAGCAGAACCCACAGGAGGGAGGCAGGGUUGACACAGUGUUCCAGCAGGAGGCUAGGUUGGAACACUGCAUCAGAUGUUGGGGAUCAGCCAGGUGAGGUAGGUUAUUCAGGCUCUCCUGCUGAAGCUCCUCCAAGCAAGUCACCAUCGAUGCCAUCACUAAACCAGACAUGGCCUGAGCUGAAUCAGAGCAGUGAGGAUACUGCUAUUGUUCAUCCAGUUCCCAUUCGUAUGACUCCAAGCAAAAUCCACAUGCAGG